rnacentral:rRNA from 1 species
UCAGGCCUAACACAUGCAAGUCGAGCGAGACCUUCGGGUCUAGCGGCGGACGGGUGAGUAACGCGUGGGAACGUGCCCUUUGGUUCGGAAUAGCCCCGGGAAACUGGGAGUAAUACCGGAUGAGCCCUACGGGGGAAAGAUUUAUCGCCGAAGGAUCGGCCCGCGUUGGAUUAGGUAGUUGGUGGGGUAAUGGCCUACCAAGCCGACGAUCCAUAGCUGGUUUGAGAGGAUGAUCAGCCACACUGGGACUGAGACACGGCCCAGACUCCUACGGGAGGCAGCAGUGGGGAAUCUUAGACAAUGAGGGAAACCCUGAUCUAGCCAUGCCGCGUGAGCGAUGAAGGCCUUAGGGUUGUAAAGCUCUUCAGUGGGAAGAUAAUGAC